AUACGGAGGAUGCAAGCGUUAUCCGGAUUUAUUGGGUUUAAAGGGUGCGUAGGCGGUUUGCUAAGCGGGAGGUGAAAUGCCGGCGCUCAACGUCGGAAGUGCCUCCCGAACUGGUGGACUUGAAUGACUCUGCCGUGGGAGGAAUGUGUAGUGUAGCGGUGAAAUGCUUAGAGAUUACACAGAACACCGAUUGCGAAGGCAUCUCACGAAGGGUUGAUUGACGCUGAGGCACGAAAGCGUGGGGAUCAAACAGGAUUAGAUACCCUGGUAGUCCACGCAGUAAACGAUGAUGGCUAACCGCUGGGCUUAUCAGUUCAGUGGCCAAGCGAAAGCGAUAAGCCAUCCACCUGGGGAGUACGUCCGCAAGGUUGAAACUCAAAUGAAUUGACGGGG
rnacentral:rRNA from 1 species